UUUUUUUCACGGCCUAGGCCGUGAAGUUUUACCCCCUCCUUUUUUAUUACGAACUUUUUGUGUACACCCAGACGAAAUUGAGAGAGAUUGUAAAAAAAGUCACAUUCUAGCGUACCGACCGAUAAUUUUUAGUCAAUUUUAAACUUAGUUACUAUUUAGUGGCGCUAAUUAUUUCUCUGCUGGCAGUUUAUUACAAAGCGGACUUAAUUUUAAUAAA